CCAACCGCCUUUGAAUUUCCCAUUCUCUCAAUCUCUCUUAAAAACCCUAGCUGUCUCCUUCCACUUUUGCCCUAAAACCACCGGAAUCCAUGGCUUCCAAGGCCAUUGAAGUCCUACAUCAGCCUCAUAUAGCUCCUACACGCCCGGUUGCUGAAGUUUCAAGGCCUGACCACGAAGAAGCUUGGCCCAGACCUUGUUUGACCACG
rnacentral:lncRNA from 1 species